CUCCUCCUGUAGGUCUUUCCUCAAAGGCUGAGAAAGAAUUAGGAAUCAUGUACCUGAGCAUGAGGAGGAACCUCUUCGGAGCGUUCUCCUUUCCUACUACUGAUUUUGCUAGAAAACGAACGUCCCUGUUUCGAAGGCAACUGAGGUACACUCAGAGGUGGAUACAGUGCCUGUUCACAUGGCAGCACUGCCAACAUAAAUAUUUAUAGAUGUAAGAGGGGAUUCCCACCUAAUUCACCAUCUCAGCUGCGACCUCCAGGAUCUCCAUUAUGCUUAAUGAUGUACGGCACCCAAGCAACAGGUGAGAGUUGCCUGCUCCUGAGUAACCUGGGAAGGAAACGGCGGUUACGCCGCCUUAACGAGAGUCUAGCUGAGAAUUAGUCAACAUUUGCAAUGGCUGAGAGAAGGCAAAGGUUGCUAGAAUAUCAGUGACCGUGACUGAUUGUUUACAGCAGCUGUGUGCCCGCUGCUUCCCAGACCUGCAAGAACCCCAGUUCCAAAGGACUCGCAAGCUCAGAACAGACAGAGAUUGGGAGGGAAAGGAACAAAUAUAGCUCUCAUGACCUUGCCCUACAUGAAAUAUUUUCCCCACUGGACAUAAAAAGGCCAACGCAGCUCCUCUUGAAUGUGGAAAUAAGAUCUGCUCAUGGCAUCAGUAGCAGUGUGGGGCUGCAAGCACCUCUCAGGCUGUGCUGGGAGAAGGACCCACUGCAGAAGGGACAAUAUUAACUUUCCUUUGCAUCUUGUGAAACCAACGAGAAAUGUUUCCAGGAGACAAGUCAAGAGAGCGGCAAGAAUAGUAAGAAAACAUUCUAGGAAAUGCGGUGAUGCCCAUGCAAGAGCUGUGCUAAGGACCAGAGACCUUUUCAAGGCCUUGUCUGGAAUAAGGAUUGCUUCAGGUGCACCUAAAGUCCCAUGGGUCAACACGUCACAAUCCACAGAGCCCUAUAAAUACCGGGACACUCUGUCUCCUCCUCCAUCUUGCUCUGCCUGGUGCAUCUUCUCUGCAGUGACACUGAGAUCCCAGCCGACCUUCAGCCAUGAGGGGCCUCUACCUGCUCUUUGUUGUUGCCCUCCUCCUAUUCCAUGCUGGUCCAGGAGAUGGCGGACCGCUUCAUUCGUGUGCAGGCGGACGGGGUUACUGCUUACUUGAUUUGAGAGUAUGCCCUCUUGGUACAGCAUUGAAUGCACUAUGCCCUGGUUAUAGACCCUGCUGUAGAAGAUAGCGAAUAUGCUGAGCUGAAGUAAUGUACAAAGGGACGCCUCGCAGCAUUGCUAGAGAGAUUUGUACCCCUUCUUUGAAUAAAAUAUGUCCCAUCGCA